rnacentral:lncRNA from 1 species
GGCCUGGCAUCUCCAUCUCUCCCCCCCUCACCACUUCUUCCACCACUGGCCGUCGUCGCGGCCAGGCCGGCGUGGCGGCGCGCCACCAGCUCCACUGUCCAUCUGUGCCAUCCACCACUCCAUCUCCACCACCGCGCCAUCACUCCACCGCCGCACCUCGCGCGCCCGACCAGACGGGCGCCUGGUCCUCCGCGUGAACGCCCCCAUGCUGCUGCUCUUUCUUUCUUCCUCCCCUGCUGCUUUCUGCUGCUCCUUCUUCACCUAUCUCGCUGCUGCUCCUCCACCUCUCUUCUUCCCUCGCCUCUAGCUGCUGCUCCUAUUCUUCUCUGAAUCCCCCGCUGCUGCUUCUUCUUUCUCUAACCCCCUCUUGCUGAAGCCCUCUCCUCACACCCACUGCUGCUUCUUCGCCUUGGUCCUACUGCUGCUCCUCUCUCCCUGAUUCCCCUACUUCUUCUCUGAAUCCCCUACUUCUGCUGCUCGUCUCCAACUGAACCUGCUGUCUCUGUCUCUGUCUCUCUCUCUCUCUCUCUCUCUCUCUCUCUCUCUCUCUCUGAAAUUUCUAUAACUUAAGUGUACUCUUAAGAAUUGUGUAAUGUUCCGAUUUUUAAAUGCUUGAAAUCUGUGAACGAUUCAGUUUCAUACUUAUAAAUAUUGUAUCACAUAUUUUGCGUUCUCACUAGUUGAAGUGUUCUUGUUGUGUAUUUGUGGUCAGUCAGUCGCCAUAUAUGUUAUCUAACCUUGUGAAUUUAAUCUAGUUUGAAGUUUAUGUGUUUACUCAAGUACUUGUGUUACAAAAAUAUGUGUGUGAGUUUGUGUUGUGAAACAUUUAUAUUCAGCCAUAUAACCGUGAUUCUUCCCUCUGUUCAUGUUUGAUAGUUAUAUAUGUGUCCUUGUCAUGUUACGUUCAUGUCCUUUCACUUCUCUUGUCAUUGAUGUAUGCUCGUAUUAGUAUUUUAACUUCUCAAGCAUUACGAAAAUACCAAAAAGACAAUGAGUAAAAUCUGAAUUUCCCCUUGCUGUUUAUGCUUUCUUUGUCGUCAACCCUGGCUAGUUUAGGUUAUUAUUUUCUUGCAAUACUCUCUUAAAAUUCUGUCGCCUAGCUUUAGCUGAGCAUUGUUGCCGUCGCCUAGUCUCUGUGGAGAACACAACAUUCGUAGUUUUGGGCGUAAAAACCCCACUAUACUUAAAAUCGAUCAUUUUGGCGCCGUUGCCGGGGACUAGCGUCGAGCGAUUAUGUUAGCUAUAGACUAGGUUUAUUUUAGUUCUGUGUUUAAUUAGUCGUGUAUUUCAUUUUCUGUGUUUCUUUUAUAUAUUUUUUCCCUUGCUGUUGCUUUGGCUUAUUAGGAUACUAACGUUCUGACUAGUAUUUACUAUUUAUGAGUGUGCGUAGGAAGUCUGAACUAUUUACAGGUUGAUUGAUGGUUACACUUGGUGGAGAUAUGGCGAUUCUUCGUGAUGUUUGGAUGCCAAGCAGCCAAUGCUAUUUCACAGGGCCACUUUGGCCGUCUUUUGAGGCGGAAAAUUUUGAGCUAAAGCCUGGUCUUAUUGCUUUGGUUCAACAACAUCAGUUUGGAGGGUUGCCUACUGAAGACCCUUAUGAGCACUUGCUCCGAGUCAUGGAGUAUUCAGAGACAGUAAAGUACCUUGGAGUACCUGAAGAUGCUAUCAAGUGCAUGCUGUUCACAUUCUCUCUCCGAGAUGAUGCUCGUGCUUGGUAUCGAUCCUUGCCAUCAAGAUCAUUCGGUUGGAACGAGGUAUCACGAGCUUUCUUAGAUAAAUAUUUCCCACUACACAAGCAGUCCGCAAUUCGAGAUGAGAUCUUCAAUUUCGUUCAGCGUGAAGGCGAGAGCUUGUAUGAUGCUUGGGAGAGAUACAAAGCCUUAUUCAGGAGAUGUCCUAAUCAUGGGCUCGAGAGAUGGUUAGAGCUGCAGAUAUUCUAUAGAGGAUUGACUUCGGACACUCGAGCUUACGUCGAUAUGGCAGCGGGUGGAGCUAUUACAAACAAGACACUUGAUGAAGCUUUUCUGUUGAUUGAGAGCAUAGCUUUCCACCAACUUCAGUGGUACAAUAAGAAGCCCACGUCCGAUUCAUUGGUUUGCUUGCAACAAAUCACUACACCUCAGCCACCAAUUCUUACAUAGAAGCAUGAACCUCUAUCUCAGUAUGACAAGAUCGAGCUUGCAUGGAUUAUCUUUGAUGAUGAUGACACCAUUCUAGUUGACACACACGCUACAGAUCAUAUGGAUACUAGCGUUGGAGAUUCGGUUUUGCAUUGUGAUGAUUCUUCCAUGGAUGAGCCAGAGCUGCAGUUAGUUGCUUUUGAUAUUGAGGAGUCACAUGUAGUUGAUAUUGAUCAUGUGCUUCUAGAGCCAGAUAUGGAGAAGUUCACCUUCGAUGAUGUUAGCUGCAUUGAUUCCUCAACACUUGAGCCUGAGAUGGAGAGCUUCAUGGUUAAUUAUGAUGAGGUGGAUUCAGAUGUUAAGGAGCCAAGCUCUACUAUUUCACUUGUUGACACGAGUCCGGUGGAAAUUUCUACUACCACACCUCACUUGGUAUCUUCAAUUGAGGUAGUCCUGAAGCUUCUUCCUAACUAUCUCAGGUAUGAUCUCAGCUUUCUCGACAAGAUAUGCCAUAUCAUGGAUACUGCUAUGCACCAUGCGAUUUAUUGAUGAUAUCUAUUUAUCAUAUGCUCCAUAGAUAUGCUUAUGUGAUAGGAUACUCUAUUGAUGAAUUAGAGGGCAUUGUCCCUAUCACUUGUAUUGGCUUGUUUGCCGAGUGUUCUUUCAGGUUUAUGCUUGUGCACCAUUCACUGCGGGCUGCCCAAGUUCGAGAUGACAUCCCAUGGGAUCCUGGUGGAUUCAUGGCAUGGUGAUGAGGAGAAGCAAUGAGCACACAUGAGGAAGAGCGAAGCUGGAGCAUCCAUGAGGAAGCAAAGGAGAAGAGCUGCAGUUGGUUAGGUGAUCGAGCGAGUGCUACAUGAUCAAAGCUCGGUGAGCUGUUUCAUGACCCAUUCUGAAAACUAUCAUCCAUUGAUACAUGAUGAAAUCACUUGCUAUUUGGGUUGCUUGAGCCAUUUCUUAAAUGUUGUCCCACUGAAUUUUACCUUUGUCAUUGGUGCUUGAUGUGAAUAUGUGAAUUGAUUGUUGAAUGCCUUGUAAACUAGUGAUCUACAUGAUGCUUGCUUUGCUGAAAGUAGUGAAAGCUAUUAGUUUUGAGUGCUCAAAUCCCUAGUACACUAGAAAACUUGAUCAUUUUCUGCUUUUACCUUGAUACACCUAGAUCAUUAAGUGUCAGAUGUUGAGUUUGUGCCUAAUGUGUUCCCAUUCAGAGCAAUCACUUACCACUAUGGACUAGCAUGCUAUGUUCCCUGGAUCGGUAGUAUGUGAACCAGACAUGGAUGAGUGAUGAUUCUUGUUUUUGUUCAUUUGAAAAGUAAAAAAGUUUCUUAUAAUGAAUAUAAGUCUAGUCUACCUACAGUAGCAUGUCAUGUUCCCUGGAUCGGUGGCAUGUGAAAUUUGGUAGCUUGGACAGUAAUAAAUAAAUAAAAAUGCAAUAUUUGUCGAACCAGGUGUAUACCAUGUUCCGGGAUCGGUGGUAUGUUCCUUUGGGGAGACAAACAAAAAAACUAUAUAAUUGGUCGAGCCAGGUGUAUACCAUGUUCUCGGGAUCGGUGGUAUGUUCCUUUGGUGGUGCUUCCUUCAAAAUUCAAUAAGUAGUUUAGCCACAAUGUUGUGUUCCUGGUAACAAGUAUUUCUCGGGAUCAUGCUCUCUUUAGGAACCUUUUGGCACAAUCCGCAUUUAAACUUGUUGAUCCACUUUUAUCAUUGUAAACGUUUAAAAUGAUCGAGUCUACUAGUAUACUAUUGCUUUGUAGCAUCCUAACCAUUAAUCUUCACUAACUAAGUCUGAAGCAUGCAUUGUUUGGAGUUCUACUUUACUAGGACCUUCUCUAGUCAGUUCACUGUUCAUAUUCUUGCUCUUGUCAUAUGCCUUUGCUUGAGGACAAGCAAAGAUAUAAGUGUGGGGGAACUUGAUAGAGCAUUUCCUCAUAUAAUCUUUUUAGCCUGUUUGCAUCACAUUGUAAUCAUAUUUUCACAUUAUUUACUCGAGAAAUAUUCGGAUGUUCCCAUUAUGUUACAUUUACAACACUCCUCCAUGUUUUGCAGAAAAGGGCGAAAAGGCCCAAAAUCUUUCUAUAAUGGAGAGUGUCAAGAAGUUGUGGUUACUGUAAUUUACGGAGGGACUCAAGCGUGAAGAAAAAGAAGUAAUCAGAUGGGCCAAAACUAAAGAAGGAGGGGAUCUACUUGGGAAGAAAGAAGAAAGGAGGAGGGCCAAAGUAAAAAAAGAGAGAUCAGGGAGGGGAGGGGAUCAAAAUCCCUAGCGCUGCUCCAUUCCCAAAUCGGGCCUGGCAUCUCCAUCUCUCCCCCCCUCACCACUUCUUCCACCACCGGCCGCCGCCGCGGCCAGGCCGGCGUGGCGGCGCGCCACCAGCUCCACUGUCCAUCUGUGCCAUCCACCACUCCAUCUCCACCACCGCGCCAUCACUCCACCGCCGCACCUCGCGCCCCGACCAGACGGGCGCCUGGUCCUCCGCGUGAACGCCCCCAUGCUGCUGCUCUUUCUUUCUUCCUCCCCUGCUGCUUUUUGCUGCUCCUUCUUCACCUAUCUCGCUGCUGCUCCUCCACCUCUCUUCUUCCCUCGCCUCUAGCUGCUGCUCCUAUUCUUCUCUGAAUCCCCCGCUGCUGCUUCUUCUUUCUCUAACCCCCUCUUGCUGAAGCCCUCUCCUCACACCCGCUGCUGCUUCUUCGCCUUUGUCCUACUGCUGCUCCUCUCUCCCUGAUUCCCCUACUUCUUCUUUGAAUCCCCUACUGCCGCUGCUCGUCUCCAACUGAACCUGCUCUCUCUCUCUCUCUCUCUCUCUCUCUCUCUGAAAUUUCUAUAACUUAAGUGUACUGUUCAGAAUUGUGUAAUGUUCCGAUUUUAUAAAUGCUUGCAAUCUGUGAGCGAUUCAGUUUCAUACUUAUAAAUAUUGUAUCACAUAUUGUGCGUUCUCACUAGUUGAAGUGUUCUUGUUGUGUAUUUGUGGUCAGGCAGUCGCCAUACAUGUUAUCUAACCUUGUGAAUUUGUUCUAGUUUGAAGUUUAUGUGUUUACUCAAGUACUUGUGUUACAAAAAUAUGUGUGUGAGUUUGUGUUGUGAAACAUUUAUAUUCAGCCAUAUAACCAUGAUUCUUCCCUCUGUUUAUGUUUGAUAGUUAUAUAUGUGUCCUUGUCAUGUUACGGUCAUGUCCUUUCACUUCUCUUGUCAUUGAUGUAUGCACUUCUCAAGCAUUACAAUGUAGCG